rnacentral:lncRNA from 1 species
AACAGAGUAAGCAUGUGGCUCCUUUAUGUUUGUUCUCCAAAAAAUGUUAACAAGUCUGACUGGGAUUUAAAUAUUUAUAGUAGAAAUCUAAUUUUUAUAGUUACUAUGUAGUACUAUAGGGACUGUGGCGAAACAAGCAAUAGCAAGCUAACAGUAAAGACAGCUUUAGAAGUGACAUUUACUUCAUAAGUGACAGCAUAUGCUUUGUCUACCAUCUUCAGCUGUGGAAAUGCCAAAACUUUGUCUCUGUUCUUACAAGAUGAUGACUACCCUCAACUCCCCAUGGGCUAAGUUCUGCUGUCUUUGUUUACUGAAUGACACUACCGGCUGAAAGCAGAGGCAUACAAUUUCUCCUGACAAAACCACAUCUACUACAAGCAGGAAGAAAGUUGCAUGCUACGCCUGAUAACUUCCUGAGAUCACCUUCCUGCACAUGUAGGAAAAAUCUUUCAGGUUGUGGAUCAAGUAGAUUUAAAACAAUCUUGGCUUCAUUUAGAACAUCUUUGCUUUCAAGAGACACCCUACAACAUAUUCCAAAGUCCAGUCUUUUAGUGUUUGCAAAUAUUAUUUGUUAAUUCUAUGAAGCUUUUAUUGUAAAGAAACAAACAAACAAAAUAUUUAAAUAUUGUGUAGAUUUGUUUGGAGAUCAGAAUAGUAAUGUCUAUGUGUAUGAAUGAUUAUUAUAGAAGUAUAAACUACUGAUAAAAUAGAGACAGAAUUUGUGCUAUCAGCCACAGUCAUCCAUUUUGUAAUUAUGUAAUUAUCCAUUUUUGUAAUUAUUAAAAGAUAACAUUACAGUAAGAGUAUCAGUGUAUGGGUUUCCAUAUUUCAGAUAUAUAGUUGCAAGUCUUGUUCUUUAUCAUGUAAAUGUGCAUUAGCCACAGGGAAUCUG